rnacentral:rRNA from 1 species
UAACGCGUUAAGUCGUCCGCCUGGGAGACGNCCGCAAGGUUGAAACUCAAAGGAAUUGACGGGGACCCGCACAAGCGGUGGAGCAUUGGUUCAAUUCGAUGCAACGCGAAGAACCUUACCUGGCCUUGACAUCCGCGGAACUUGCAGAAAUGCCUUGGUGCCUUCGGGAAUCGCGAGACAGGUGCUGCAUGGCUGUCGUCAGCUGUGUCGUGAGAUGUUGGGUUAAGUCCCGCAACGAGCGCAACCCUUGUCCUUAGUUGCCACAUUAAGUUGGGAACUCUAAGGAGACCGCCGGUGACAAACCGGAGGAAGGUGGGGAUGAGUCAAGUCAUCAUGGCCCUUAUGGCCAGGGCUACACACGUGCUACAAUGGGCGGUACAAGGGUUGCCAACCCGCGAGGGGGAGCCAAUCCCAAAAAGCCGUUCGUAGUCCGGAUCGGAUCUGCAACUCGACUCCGUGAAGUCGGAAUCGCUAGUAAUCGCAGAUCAGCAUUGCUGCGUGAAUACGUUCCCGGGUCUUGUACACACCGCCCGUCACACCAUGGAAGUUGGUUGCACCGAAGUAGGUAGCCUAACCGCAAGGAGGGCGCUUACCACGGUGUGGCCAAUGACUGGGGU